UCCAUGUUGGUCAGGCUGGUAUUGAACUCCCAACCUCAGGUGAUCCACCUGCCUUGGCCUCUCAAAGUGCUGGGAUUACAGGCGUGAGCCACCAUGCCCGGCCACGUAUCUGGGAGUUAAAACCACCAUAUCUGGGAGUUCUUGGCCAGGCCGUGUCAUAUUGUCAUUCCUGACAAUAGAGGAAGAUUAGAACUGCACCUGACAAUAGAGGAAGAUUAGAACUGCAUCAGAAUUUUGUUUUCUGGACCACACUAUUGCAGUCCCCAGAAGAGUGUCACGGGUCAGCCACUGCUGAACACAAGGAUGAGGACAGUCGGAAUGCUAAAUGCCCAGCCCAGCCCACCCAGCCCAGUCCAAAAGCAGCCUUUUUUUUCCUUUUUCUUUUCUUUUUUUUUUCUUAGUGAAAUAGUAACAGACUAUAGGGAGGCAAUAGCUGUCUCUGGGACUAUCAAGACACCAGCUCAGCUGCGCAGCAGACAAAUGUCACUUUUCUGAUACAGGUGGCCCUAAUCAGAGAGAUCCUACUACAGCUGGUGCUCAAAAAUAACCUUUCCCCCUCUCUGAUUUACCCAGGCAAGUGAAAGAAGACAGACUCCAGGAUUACAUUCUCCAGAGCAUGAGCUGCGUAUAUCACUCGCGAACCUUCCAG
rnacentral:lncRNA from 1 species